rnacentral:tRNA from 1 species
AAGUAAAAAGCGAAUAAUUGCAUUCAGUUUCGGCCUGGCCCUUGGUGUUAACUCACCUUUACUUA